rnacentral:lncRNA from 12 species
AUGAUCACUGUUCCUUUGUACCAAAGAGAAACUGAAACAGAAACCAAGGGUGGUUACAUGCCCAGAGUAACGCUGUCAGAACAGGGGCCACAGAGUCGAGAGUUCUCUGUGCUUGAUCCUUUGAUCUGGGCAGCUGGAUGGGGCUCUCUGAGCACCAGAGCUGGUCACAGGAGCUGCCUAUCUUGGAGGCUGGGUGAUAGGACUCCCUGGUUCCCCUGGACAGCUGCUGCCUGGUAAGGGGCAAAGCCCUGCAGGGACUCCAGGGGACUGCUCCUUGCCUCCCUCCCAGGGUGGCUCUGGGGUGAGCCUGAGCAGCUGCCCUGUCUACCCACAAUACAGUGGGGGUAGUUGCCUCCAGGCAGAGCGGAAGCCACAUGGUCCAGGCAGGGUGGAGGUGCCCCCGGCGCCCUCGGGAUCUCCGUGUGGCUUUCUGUCAAGCCUCUGUUGGUGCCUGGUUCCCCCAUAAAGCCAUUAUGUACUGGGAGAAUUAAUCAUGCCGUUAGGUAAGCAUUAUGGCACUUUUAUGGCAGCUUUGAAGCUAAUCUGUCAUUAAUGCCUGCUGGAUUAUCAUGAUUUCUUGCAGUUGUGAUUCAUUAACUCGAAGCCUAAUAGUAAUUCUAUUAAACAUCUCCCAUCACCAUUUGCCCCAACACGUCCCCACUCUGUUCUAUUGUGCCGCUGUAGUGGUGUGACUGGCAACCUGUGUGGUCUCCAAAGAGAUGGACAGGUCCCCCUGCCAGCUAGAAACUGCCCACCCCCGCACCCCUACCCUGCCGGCCUCCGAGCACGUGCCCUCCCGUUCUAGCCGGACUCUCCAGCCCAUUCUUGCUUUUCUCCCAGAGGUGGCGGAAAUGCCUUCCCUGCAACACCCAUGAUGCUCUCCAGAGGCCAGGCCGGGCAGAGUAAGACAAGCACCCCACGGCUCCACGGGUGACCGUCAAGCCCGUGGCAGAAGCGGGUUUGGGGGUCUAGAGAGAAAUUAGGGUGCUGCUCAAGAAAUGUUUUCACGCACUCCCCUUUCCCUCCUGGCUCAGAGCUACUGACACUCACAGGGGAGGAGGUGGCAGGCGGCGGGGACAGGAAGCAGGGGUGGCACGCCGUUGACUGUGGGCCUGCCAGCAUUAAUAAAAUCCCUUGGUGAGGUUUUUCA